ensembl:lncRNA
CUCCUUCAGGUAUUUUUAUACAUGGAUGAGAUUCCCUCCAAGUUUUCUCUUUUCUAGGUUGAACAGGACCAGCUUUCUCAUCCUUUCCUCACAAGAGCGGUACUUCAGUCCCUUGAUCACCUGGUGGUCCUACAUUGGACACUUUCCAUUAUGUCCAUGCCUCUCUUGAAAUAAUUAAUAUCCAAAAUAAUAUGCUGACAUUAUAAACACGAGAGGAGCAGUGUCUCCCAGGUUUAUCUAUGAAGUAACAGUCAGUCUAAGUUACUGAAUACUCCAGUGUGUAUAUAAAUACAUUAGCAGAAGCUGUAAGCACUGUGAAUCUUCAGCCUUGUGAGAAAUUUUCCUAACAGAGAGAUGAACCCUCCACCCGCAGGGAAAAGCUGUAAAUCCAACCACAAAAUGGCUGCCCCGGCCAUUUUGCAGGGCAGGCUGGAUCACUGCUGAGGCCAGCGCCACUCUGGGCCUGCAUGGACACAGAGGGCAAACCGCUGCCUGGCUCCCCGUGGGCUGAGGGUCUGUGGCCAGCACGGGCAGCCCACAUAGAGGAUUUGUAGAGCAGAGGGCUGUGUGCCUGCUCUCUGCCCAGAGCGGAGCAGGACUCUUUGCAGGAUCACCAAAAUUUCUGGAAAUGUUAACUCAGCUGAAUGCUAGUGGCAAAUAAUUGUUCCAUGGCAAAUACUUAUUCACAUCACAAGCAGAAGCCACCUGUACUGGAGAUAGGUGCAGAAAGUUAUUCCACAUCCCCUGCACCCCGAUAUUACUACUAUUAAACUAGUGUUUUACAAAUCAUCCUCUGUUCAGCCACAUAGAUACUGGAGCUAUCCUGCCAUUCUUGGGAAGACAAUGAUCAAGAAGUUUAUGCGGAGGACAGUAACUAUUAACCAAAUAUAUCAUCCCUGACAACUAUUUGUUUUGUAAGAGACCUGAGGGAGGGGAUACAGAUUCUGUAGAAACUUACAGUUAGGGCCAAUUUAAAUGCGUUUAAUUUUCAAGGUGAAGAACUACCACAGAGACACAUAAUGACAAGAAGUGGAAGCCUGGCUGAUUCAAACUCCUGGAAGAAUGGAGCUGGCAUCCUGAAGGGCCUUACACUGCAGUCAUAGAGGGGCUAAAACAAAGAGAUGGUCACCACGGAGGAUAGAAGGUGAGAGGGGGCAGCUGCCCAGUGUAAUGGCCUGUAACUAGGAAUAUUGCAGUUCUAUCUGACAGAAUAACCACUGGCAGAAAAAACAAUUAGCUCAUCCAAUUCUACCGUGUACACAUAAAAUUUAGAAGGAGAGAGACCUAGAAAUCACAGGAGGAUCCCACAGUCAAACUUAUUUCUAUGCACAAAGUUGUUUCCUUCACAUCAAAAGCAUUUUGUAGAGAGAGAGUGCAGAAUAGACAGCGAACCAUGAAGACUGUUCCACUGCUAACUGUCUCACUUGUGUGAAAAUCAGUAUAUAAAUCAGAUAAAAAGAAUUUACUUAUUUAUGCAUUGAAGAUACUCUCUUCAUCUGAUUUACCUUCAUCUGAUGGAGAUGCUUUGCGUAAAGGGAUGCAUUAUGAAGAAAUGCAUUCUGCUAGGAAAGGCUUGAGCUGGAAAUUAAAUCCUGUGCUAAACUUUUCAAGAAGUAUCUACCUUCACUGAACUCUUUUCAUGGUCCUGCUUAUUUCUACUUUAAACUUCUCAUUUAUUGUACUUUAAGCUCCAUCAGUGAAUGUAAAUGGGGUUUCACUAUACGUUUAGUGCAUUCAAGCAUUCUUUGUUACAGUUCCCACCCUGGCGCAUUAUGUGAGCUCUGCCACGGAAGUCCAGCAGUCGGUUUGUUUUCUGCUAUUAAGAAAAGAACCUACUUUUCGCCACUUCUUUGAAGAAGUUGAAAGGGCUACAUGUUAGAGGGGGAGGUGGUGGGGAACAGACUGUGGUGUAAUCCCCAAACGCAAAUGCUGUCUAGAUUAGAAACCUCCCAGAAGAAAAUCUACAAAUGCUAAGACUGUGCUUUUUGUGUGAUGAACAGUAGAGCAAUAACUUAGCCACAUACUGGGUUCUGCCUAAUGCUUAAGGAGCCUACUAGGUGAAAGGAAUUAAAUGAAAAAAAAAAAAAAAAUCUUCCAGUUGGCUCUGUGCCGAUGCUAGCCAACCCUUUCAGGACCCAGUGACUUACUAGUGGAACUAUUUUCAUUUGUAUUUCAUCACUGAGGUUUCUUAAUAUAAUACUUUGGAUUCUGUUAAAAUAAAUAUAUGCAAAAAAAAAAAACAAUAAAAAACAAACAAAUAAACAACAACAACAAAAACCCACCUAAUGAGAUUUACACAUUGCCAGUGUUUUUACAGUCCAGGAAAAGCUUAAUUAAAG